rnacentral:rRNA from 1 species
AGUGAACGCUGGCGGUAGGCCUAACACAUGCAAGUCGAACGGCAGCACAGUAAGAGCUUGCUCUUACGGGUGGCGAGUGGCGGACGGGUGAGGAAUACAUCGGAAUCUACUUUUUCGUGGGGGAUAACGUAGGGAAACUUACGCUAAUACCUCAUACGACCUACGGGUGAAAGCAGGGGAUCUUCGGACCUUUCGCGAUUGAAUGAGCCGAUGUCGGAUUAGCUAGUUGGCGGGGUAAAGGCCCACCAAGGCGACGAUCCGUAGCUGGUCUGAGAGGAUGAUCAGCCACACUGGAACUGAGACACGGUCCAGACUCCUACGGGAGGCAGCAGUGGGGAAUAUUGGACAAUGGGCGCAAGCCUGAUCCAGCCAUACCGCGUGGGUGAAGAAGGCCUUCGGGUUGUAAAGCCCUUUUGUUGGGAAAGAAAAGCAGCAGGUUAAUACCCCGCUGUUCUGACGGUACCCAAAGAAUAAGCACCGGCUAACUUCGUG